UACGUAGGGGGCAAGCGUUGUCCGGAAUCAUUGGGCGUAAAGCGCGUGUAGGCGGUCCGGUAAGUCCGCUGUGAAAGUCGGGGGGCUUAACCCUCGGAUGCCGGUGGAUACUGUCGGGCUUGAGUACGGAAGAGGCGAGUGGAAUUCCUGGUGUAGCGGUGAAAUGCGCAGAUAUCGGAAGGAACACCUGUGGCGAAAGCGGCUCACUGGACCAUUACGUGACGCUG
rnacentral:rRNA from 1 species